rnacentral:lncRNA from 1 species
AGGGGGGUCAGACAUUUAACGUCAAUUUCAGGGCAAUCUGAGCUAUAUAAGACCCAGCCACAAUGAGUUAAUUUAUUAGUUUAUUGCUUCUAUUACUGUUUUACUGAUGUUCCUAGUUUCAAACAUCAGUGUAGUUUCCUCUUUCAGUUAAAAACCUCAUUUGAAGCGCUUGCUUUUCUAAUACUGGAUUUUUUGCUGGCAUUGAAAUUAGAGUUCUCAAUAAAAGGAGAAUUGUGCCUGGCUGCCUGACCUCUAGUCACUUAAUCUAGGGCAAGCUUUCUGAAGAGCCAGCAUCAACAGCAUCAGCUAUGGGAUAGGUGACAGUACAUGUGCACACAGGUCACACAGCAAGGGAUCACAGUCAUUUCUAUGAGUGGCAUUAGAUAUCCUGGAACAAGAGACUCAGGGUGUGCUGACAGGAAGAAUACUCAUGGGCCUGCAUCACUGUCGCCUUAGAAACAACACAUUGUAUGUAAUAAAUGUCUGCCACCGGGAAACAUUAUAUACCGUGCACACAAAAACCAAUGUUUCAUGCUGUCACUUGUAUGUGGAACCUUUAAAACUCACUCUUACCACAUAUCUUUAAUCCAAGCACCUGUGAAUCAAAGCCAGAUCUGACGAGUAAGUCCCAGGCCAGCCAGGGCUGCUAAUGAGACCCUGUCUCAAAAAGAAUUUGAUGCUUACUUAGCAAGACCUACAGAGAGUUGGAAAUAGUAGCCAAAAGUUACAAAAUUUCAUCUAGAUAGAGGCAUUGGCUUAAGAGAGCUAUUGUGCACCUUAGUGACUAUAGUCACUAGCAGUGCAUUAUGCUCUUCAAGUGGCUGAGAAUAGCUUUUAAGUGCUCAUUCCCAAAUAAGUAUCUGGCAUGACACACUGGCAUGAUUAAGUUUUUAAAAGUCUAUUCUUAUAAAUUUCAUCAAAAACAUGGUUUUUAAACGUUAUGACUUUAAAGGAACUUUCGCCUUCAUUUUUCAAAUUGGAAUAUGAGAAUCUAAUCAAAUGAUACUGGAAACUAUCCCUAUGGCUUUUAUAAUGUCUUAACUGCAUAUGCUUGACUCCCAUCCCUCAACAUCAUAAAGUAGAAUCUGGCAGCAUCAAACAUUAUUCUGUAUCACUGUGUUUAAAAUAUUAAAGCAGACUUUUAAGCCAAUUCCUUCCUAGUCAGAAAACUUAUAGGGAUCUGUAUGAAAUUCAUGGACACACACAAUCCAAAACAAAAAGCAGCCAAUGUCACCACCAUAGACCUUCACUGUUAACAUGUCUCUAACUUCAAACACACACACACACACGCACACACACACACACACACACACACACACACAGGACUCAAGAAUAAUUUAAGUAUAUCAGAACAUACAGCUUUAGGCAUCUUGUCUUUUUUUAUAGAAUUUAUAAUUUGGGAAAUGUCGUUCUUUUCCAUUGUGUUCUAUGGAAAUAUUAUCUUAUUUCUAAAGCUGAUUGUCAGGACUGGAAGGUGACUUGGUCUAUAAAGUGUUUGCUCUGCCAGUAGGAGGGUCUGAGUUCAAUCCUCAGAGACCAUAUAACAAAGCUGGUGCAGUAAAAUGUGAAUGUAAUCCCAUUGCUGGAGAGGUGGAAGCAGACAACACACACACACACAUACACACACGCACACACACACAUGAACACACACAUACAUACACACACUGAAAAUAUUGAAAGUCAGGAAAUAUGAGCUGUCUGAUCUAUAUCAACCACCAAUCAACUCAAUAACCUUUAUCAUUGACUGUACAUUUGCAGGCCUCAGUUUCCACCUCCAGAACAUUAAUGAAGAGCUGGAGAAAUGGCCUAGUGGGUAAAGCACUUGCCAUACUUGUUUGAGGCCCCAUGUUCAAGUCUCCAGUGGGAAGAGCAGACAUGGUGGCACAGGCAUUUACAAUCCCAGCUCUUCUAGGGUGCGAUGGGAGUCAGGGACAGGAGAGUCCCCAGAAGCUUGGAAGCCACCCAUCCUGAUGUCCUGUCUGCACUAGCACUCACACGGGAAUGUAUGCCAACUGCCCCAAGGGGUGUUCUUCGUUCAUGGGCACACCUCAUAUACACAAAAGUGUAACUGAAAAAGAUUAGAGAAAAGUGAAAAGUGUUGAUCAAAUAUUCUCUGAGAUGCCUGAAACCCUGUCACCUCUUGUGGACAAAUAGAUGUUAACUGACAUCUUGGCCACAUUUAGGGACAUUUUACAAUCUAGACAAGCUAGAGAAAAGUAACCUUUGUGUCUCUCUGCACAUGUUUUUGUACUCAUUCCUUUCUCAAGUAUUAUCAAAGGCUGUUCCUGGAACUAAAGGCAAGACAGAGCUCCCUUCCUGGAGAAGGGAGGCAAGCAGCAAGAAGGCAGGCAGAUCUACAGAGAUUUCAAUAAAUAGUUUCUUCUUCAAAAUUCUCAUCCGUGCAAGAUGAUGACAUUUCCUCUCUCCCCAUUCUAUAACUCAGUUGAGACUCUGAAAUGUUUGAAUGAGUAUAACUUGUUUAUACAAAAAUAAGCUGAAGAACACAUAGGACAGGAAAGGCCCUAGACAUCAAUAGAGUCAGCAGGAAGCCGGCAUCCAAGUCACUGGUCACCACAAACUGCAGUGCAGUUGAUACCAGUGCAGCCCCAGGGUUUCAGUAGGUGGGCAGAGGCUGGCCUCCCAGAGCCAGGUGUAUGAUAGCAGCAUUCUAGGAGGAUAGCAUUGGCAACCAGGGAGUUAUCAUGUGCAUAGGAAGAGCUCUACUACAGGGCUGGGGUUGUGCUGAACUUGAAGCUUCAAGAUGGAAGUUAGAAACUACCAACAAAGAAGCUUGGACUGGCAGCUGGUAUCACACAGCAAAGACUAGAGAAUGCAUGCACUACAUGUGACUUCGUAGUCCAGAGGUUUUUGAUCUUGAGUGAGCUCAAAAAUCACCCAAACAUUUAAAGUCUCUGGUGCCCUAGGCUCAUCCAUCACGUCAGAUCCAGCUGUCAACCACAAAGGUCCCCAGAAAAGCCAGUGUUCCCUGUCCUGGGACCUCGAUUUGAGAACCAGAGACAGAGCAGAUGGGCUCCCUGCGCUGAGCAUAUGGAGAACAAAACCUUGCUUUCAAAAUGGGGACUUCUAAAGAAGAUGACAGCUUCACGCCCGUAUGUCAGCCCGCUCCCCACCCACCCUCCACCCACCCCCCACCCCCCGGGUGUUGUACUCGCAUGAGGAGCAGGAAAGAUGAGUAGGGACUGCAAGAUGGUUCUGUACCAGCUACCAGGACAGGAUGAAGAGGAAGGAGGGACAUGUGGAGAUGACAGCUUGGGAGCAGAUGUCACACAGUCUCAGGGUCAUCUGCAGGCUCAGUUGUGAGAGGCAGAGAAAGCAGGGACAGGACCUUAAACAGAAUCUAGUCUUAAUAUCCACACAUCGUUUCUCCAAACCAAUGGCUGUUUCUGGCUAAGCACGUGCCUGCCAUUUGUGUAUGUUAAAAGGGGGCGUCCUAUAUCUUAAAUACACUCUGCACCAUGAGAGGUAACACCAUGACAGUCCUAGCUUUAGAGACUUCAUGGUAAUUUUACCAGGCACAACUUAAUCGACUAUAGAAUAUGUACAGUACAGAGCAUGACCUAUGUAAAUGCAGAAUCCGUUGUACCUUCGACAGCCUUCUUUUCUAAAGCAGACAUACAGGGGAGAGUCAGAAUCAACACUUGGCUUUUUCAAAUUUCACUUUAAGGAGUUUUCCAUCUGGAAUGUUCCAUCCUUGAAACUGGCCCAGAACUGACUUUCAUCUGCUGCCCCCUGCUGCCAACAAGAAAAGCAGCCUGAUUUUAAGAUUUGGAAAGCUGAGCUAC